UAUGGAAUUUGAUUUAUGUUGUUGAUGUGCCCUCAGAUUGGGUGAUACCGUGAUAUAGAUACAUAGAAAAUCAUUUUUAGAAUGUUCAUAGCUGAGAAUCUAAAAGCUCCUGUUGCAGUUUGUGGAGAUCACCAACUGCUGGCAGCUGCUCUUAGUGUUUGAUCUAAAAACAGUCUGAAUACAUUUUAUGUUUACAAAAAUAGUGAGUUCCAUGUAUUAUGAACAUUAGCAAACCAAAUGAGUGUAGCAAGCUACCUUGAAGGGCUGACGAUAAUUAGUUAUUCAACCAUGUCCAACGCCUUUUUUUGGUCAUGUGACCGUGAGGAUGGAGGGGUCGGUUCCCGUGCCCGCGGUUAUUGAUCUGUUGUUCACUUUGGAGAUUGCCUUGCCGAUUUACAGAAGACUUGCUGCUUUACCAGCAUGUGAAGGAUUUAUUCAGUUUCUUACUCUUGUGAUCAUAGAGUCCAAUCACUACACAUCCCAUUAGGCAUAGCCUUUAUUUUUAGUUGUGUUGAAAUUCCUCUGUGAUCCAAGAUCUCAUUUAGGUUGUUCGGAGAUAAUGUUUCAUUUUUCUAACAGUGUUGUUGUGGGAGCAAGAAACAUAACUGUCGUGAUAUUCAGAAAAAUAUAUAUUCUAUGUUGUUCUGUUUCUACAGGAUAACAGCUCAGGAUCUCACAUGUACUUAUUUCCUAUGUGCAUAGGGAAGCUGAGCCUUGGUCUUCUACCUUCAUCAAGCAUGCGCCUUACCUUUUCCGAUGAGGAGCAGCUAGCGCUCUUAAACAAUGGCUAUGAAGUUUUGGAUGCUGGGAUUGUGGAAAUAUGAAUUGAUAAUUCUAAAUGUUCUUUCUCGAUCAGGACUGUGGAAUCUAAAAUAUUUUACGAUUUCUGUGCUUAGAGUCGAACAAAUGUGGAAUGGAGCUUCUUGCAAAGAUGGUAAUCCCUGACUUAUAGUAUAUAUGGUCUGUUGCUACAUGUGACUAUGGUUAUCUUUUCAGAGCAAGCUGUGUCUACAAACCGUUUGUUGAAGGGAAAAUAAAUAUACAUUUACCAGUAGGCAGAUGUGUGCUCCAUUACCAUCUAUGGAGCUGCUGGAUAAUGUGUACUCUGCACUUGAAACAACCAAGCAGCCUGUAUCCUCUACCAAAUCUGUGCGGUUGAUUUUGUUGGCAGUCGGUAGUGGUUUUAUUGAUGAUCUAUGCAAGCCUAAGAGUUCAACCGAAGCUUACACCAGCUGAGAUAUGAUUAUUCUUACAUAGAUGUUAAUCUUAGAAGAGUGGGACCUUCCAAUCUUCAAUAUAGAGCUUCUUUCAACUGAUUGGCUGUUCUGAAUUAUGUUAGCUGAGCUCUUGUGCAAAAUGCAAGUGCAAUAAGUUUAGGCUGCACGACCUGUAAUGUACCUGUAGAUGUAGUCAUAUUUUUGGACGUUCAAGCAUAGUUUCUUUGGCUCAGCUGAGAGA